rnacentral:snRNA from 1 species
GGAUGUGAGGGCGAUCUGGCUGGCUAGGCAGGUGUCCCCUUCCUCCCUACUGCUCCAUGUGCGUCCCUUCCAAAGUUGCAUGCUCAUUCAAAGAGGAUGACCUUCUCCGCUAGAGGACGACUGUUCUUCAGUCAAGGGUAUACGAGCAGCUGCGAUCUCCUGCUAGAACCUCCAAACAAGCUCUCAAGGAGACACUGGAUGAGCACAAAGAAGAAUUUGAAAGCACACAUAGAAAAAUAGCAGAUAUUAU